GCCUGGGUGGCUCAGUCCGUUGAGCGUCUGACUCUUAAUUUCCACUCAGGUCCUAACCUCACAGUUUGUGGGAUCAAGCCCCACCUCGGGCU
rnacentral:tRNA from 1 species